GUCCACGCCCUAAACGAUGUCAACUGGUUGUUGGGUCUUCACUGACUCAGUAACGAAGCUAACGCGUGAAGUUGACCGCCUGGGGAGUACGGCCGCAAGGUUGAAACUCAAAGGAAAUUGACGGGGACCCGGCACAAAGCGGUGGAUGAUGUGGUUUAAUUUCGAUGCAACGCGAAAAACCUUAACCCACCCUUUGACAUGUACGGAAGUUACCAGAGAUGGUUUCGUGCUCGAAAGAGACCGUAACACAGGUGCUGCAUGGCUGUCGU
rnacentral:rRNA from 1 species